AGGAAACGGUUACUUCCACUCAUAAUGGGCAGGUCGCGGGUUCGAGUCCCGCCUGGGUCCA
rnacentral:tRNA from 1 species